rnacentral:rRNA from 1 species
GACGGAAGGUGCAAGCGUUGCUCGGAAUCACUGGGCGUAAAGGGUGCGUAGGCGGCUUGGUAGGUCUGGUGUGAAAGCCCCGGGCUCAGCCCGGGAAGGGCACUAGAAACUGCCAAGCUAGAGUGCCGGAGGGGAGAGUGGAAUUCCUGGUGUAGCGGUGAAAUUCGUAGAUAUCGAGAGGAACACCGGUGGCGAAGGCGGCGAUCUGGACGAUGACUGACGCUGAGACGCGAAAGCGUGGGGAGCAAACAGG